GAUGAACGCUAGCGGCAGGCUUAACACAUGCAAGUCGAGGGGCAGCACGGGUAGCAAUACCUGGUGGCGACCGGCGCAAGGGUGCGUAACGCGUGAGCAACAUGCCCUAUACAGGGGGAUAAUCCAGGGAAACUUGGUCUAAUAUCCCAUAGUAUUUAGAGGAGGCAUCCUCUAUAAAUUAAAGCUUCGGUGGUAUAGGAUUGGCUCGCGUGACAUUAGCUAGAUGGUGAGGUAACGGCUCACCAUGGCAAUGAUGUCUAGGGGUUCUGAGAGGAAGGCCCCCCACACUGGGACUGAGACACGGCCCAGACUCCUACGGGAGGCAGCAGUGAGGAAUAUUGGACAAUGGAUGGAAAUCUGAUCCAGCCAUGCCGCGUGCAGGAAGACAGCCCUAUGGGUUGUAAACUGCUUUUAUAUGGGAGCAAUAAGGUCUACGUGUAGACUGAUGAGAGUACCAUAUGAAUAAGCAUC
rnacentral:rRNA from 1 species